rnacentral:rRNA from 1 species
CCUACGGGUGGCUGCAGUGGGGAAUAUUGCACAAUGGGGGAAACCCUGAUGCAGCAACGCCGCGUGGGUGAAGGAGCGUUUCGGCGCGUAAAGCCCUGUCAGCGGGGAAGAAGAAAGACGGUACCCGACCAAGAACCCCCGGCUACCUACGUGCCAGCAGCCGCGGUAAGACGGAGGGGGAGAGCGUUAUCCGGAAUUAUUGGGUGGAAAGGGGGCGUAGACGGCGCGGUAAGCCUGAAGUGGAAGCCCGCGGCCCAACCGCGGAACUGCUUUGGAAACUGUUUUGCUGGAGUAUGGGAGGGGUAAGCGGAAUUCCUGGUGUAGCGGUGAAAUGCGUAGAUAUCAGGAGGAACACCGGUGGCGAAGGCGGCUUACUGGACCAUAACUGACGUUGAGGCUCGAAAGCGUGGGGAGCGAACAGGAUUAGAUACCCGUGUAGUC